AACGAACGCUGGCGGCAGGCUUAACACAUGCAAGUCGAACGCAUCCUUCGGGGUGAGUGGCAGACGGGUGAGUAACGCGUGGGAACGUGCCCCUCAGUUCGGGAUAACCCAGGGAAACUUGGGCUAAUACCGGAUACGUGCGAGAGCAGAAAGAUUUAUCGCUGAAGGAUCGGCCCGCGUCAGAUUAGCUAGUUGGUGGGGUAAUGGCCCACCAAGGCGACGAUCAGUAGCUGGUCUGAGAGGAUGAUCAGCCACAUUGGGACUGAGACACGGCCCAAACUCCUACGGGAGGCAGCAGUGGAGAAUAUUGGACAAUGGGCGCAAGCCUGAUCCAGCCAUGCCGCGUGAGUGAUGGAGGCCUUAGGGUUGUAAAGCUCUUUCGUCCGGGACGAUAAUGACGGUACCGGAAGAAGAAGCCCCGGCUAACUUCGUGCCAGCCGCCGCGGUAA
rnacentral:rRNA from 1 species